AUGAAUGUAGGAAAAAAAGUCACAGGAAAAAAAGUCACGGAAAAAAAGUCACGGAAAAAAAGUCACAGGAAAAAAGGUCACAGGAAAAAAAGUCACAGGAAAAAAAGUCACAAUAUAUAUUUUUGUAUGAAAUAGUCAUAUGGUCUGCACAUACAUGUAUAAACAGGAGAAACAUUCCCAAUUUGUAUUUUUUAUGGAAAUGGUCAUAAGGCCGCAUAUAUAUAUAUGAAUAUAUUGGGAAACAUUCCCAAUAGAUAUUUUAUUUGGAAAUAGACAUUUUUUAAUUCAUUUUAUACGACU
rnacentral:lncRNA from 1 species